rnacentral:rRNA from 1 species
GAUGAACGCUGGCGGCGUGCUUAACACAUGCCAGUCGAACGGUGAACACGGAGCUUGCUCUGUGGGAUCAGUGGCGAUCGGGUGAGUAACACGUGAGCAACCUGCCCCUGACUCUGGGAUAAGCGCUGGAAACGGCGACUAAUACUGGAUAUGUGACGUGACCGCAGGGUCUGCGUUUGGAAAGAUUUUUCGGUUGGGGAUGGGGUCGCGGCCUAUCAGCUUGUUGGUGAGGUAAUGGCUCACCAAGGCGUCGACGGGUAGCCGGCCUGAGAGGGUGACCGGCCACACUGGGACUGGGACACGGCCCAGACUCCUACGGGAGGCAGCAGUGGGGAAUAUUGCACAAUGGGCGCAAGCCUGAUGCAGCAACGCCGCGUGAGGGAUGACGGCCUUCGGGUUGUAAACCUCUUUUAGCAGGGAAGAAGCGAAAGUGACGGUACCUGCAGAAAAAGCGCCGGCUAACUACGU